UACGAAGGGGGCUAGCGUUGUUCGGAAUUACUGGGCGUAACGCGCGUGUAGGCGGGUGUCUAAGUCAGGGGUGAAAUGCCGAGGCUCAACCUCGGCACUGCCUUUGAUACUGGAUAUCUGGAGUCCGGGAGAGGUGAGUGGAACUGCGAGUGUAGAGGUGAAAUUCGUAGAUAUUCGCAAGAACACCAGUGGCGAAGGCGGCUCACUGGCCCGGAACUGACGCUGAGACGCGAAAGCGUGGGGAGCAAACAGG
rnacentral:misc_RNA from 1 species